GAUGAACGCUAGCGGCAGGCUUAACACAUGCAAGUCGAGGGGUAACAUGUCUGCUUGCAGAUGAUGACGACCGGCGCACGGGUGCGUAACGCGUAUAGAAUCUGCCUUACACUGAGGGAUAGCCUUUGGAAACGAAGAUUAAUACCUCAUAGUAUAUUUUUAUCGCAUGAUUUAAAUAUUAAAGAUUUAUCGGUACAAGAUGAGCAUGCGUCCCAUUAGUUAGUUGGUAAGGUAACGGCUUACCAAGACAAUGAUGGGUAGGGGUCCUGAGAGGGAGAUCCCCCACACUGGUACUGAGACACGGACCAG
rnacentral:rRNA from 1 species